UAAGCUUGUGUGUACAUAGCACAAUUCUUUAAAAUUCUACCUCAAAAGGGAAUUUCUUUAAGCAUUUAAAUUAUUCCACGUGGCGGUCAAAUUUAGCAGGCAGAAUGUGCUCCGUGUAAACCUCCCAGAAAGGGGGCUAUUAUGGACCAGUCAAAAAAUCAAUAUCAAGGGCAUAAUAGUAGUUUCUAAAAGGGCUUGUGAGGCGUGCCGCCGCCUCAAAUACACGAUCUUGCAAUUAGACGAGCCUAUUUUUGGUACCCAAAUCAGAAACAUUUAUAUUGAUGAUGUCCUCAUUUAUUCAAAAUCUAUUGAACAACAUUUCAAGCAUAUUCAUACAUUCAUACAUGUUAUCAAGAAAAAGCAAAAGUUUUAAAACUUGGGUAGUAUCUCAAAAAGUUUAUUUUUUUAUUUAACGAAUAAAUGAAAAUGAUAAUUAAAAUCCUUAUUCUUAAAUAGGGGAAAAAAAAAUGUUGCCCCAAUAAUUUAAAAUUGGAAAAUACAGUACAGACAGCAUUAUACCCUCCUCACAUGGAGGGGUUCAUGAAUAUUAUAUUAUAUAUGGGUCCCCUUUCAUGUGAGGGAGGUGUAAGCUUGUGUGUACAUAGCACAAUUCUUUAAAAUUCUACCUCAAAAGGGAAUUUCUUUAAGCAUUUAAAUUAUUCCACGUGGCGGUCAAAUUUAGCAGGCAGAAUGUGCUCCGUGUAAACCUCCCAGAAAGGGGGCUAUUAUGGACCAGUCAAAAAAUCAAUAUCAAGGGCAUAAUAGUAGUUUCUAAAAGGGCUUGUGAGGCGUGCCGCCGCCUCAAAUACACGAUCUUGCAAUUAGACGAGCCUAUUUUUGGUACCCAAAUCAGAAACCCUAGAAAGUUUGCCAUUUCGACCUUUUGUUCUUGAAUUUCAUAUUUGUUAGGGCGAUUAAUGGCGUCGUUCAAUGAAGCACCUCCUGGCAAUGUCAAACCCGGAGAGAAGAUCUUCAAGACCAAGUGCGCUCAGUGCCACACCGUUGAGAAAGGCGCCGGCCACAAACAAGGUCCUUCGCUUCCCCCAUUGUUCUUAGAUAUUUAUCGGAUUUCAUUUUAUGUGUUCUUGAAAUACGUUAGUGUGGAAUUGUAGCUCUCACCUUUUUAUUUAAACUAAUUUGAAUUUGAAUUUUUUGGGCGAAUCGAGGUGUAUGUAUGUAUUAGAUCUCGGAUUCAGUGAAAGGAAAUAGAAAAAAUAUCAUCUCAAACACGGGUAGAGUUCAUCUACUCUAAUAAUUCAGGAUGGAUUUCACAUAUAUGAACUUGAAAAAUUGUGAAUCUGCUAAGAGUUCACUAAGCGGGUAUUUUGGAUGAAAUAGGCUCAUUGCAUCUAAAAAUGAAGUUACAAUCUACAUGUAAUAGGAAAUUUUACUUGAUAUCUCACUCUACUUGUGUUGAUGUGUUUUGAAUUUUUUU
rnacentral:lncRNA from 1 species